rnacentral:rRNA from 1 species
CCUGGAAUAAGCGUCGCCAAACUACGUGCCAGCAGCCGCGGUUAGACGUAGGACGCGAGCGUUAUCCGGAUUUACUGGGCGUAAAGCGUCUGUAGACGGAUGUGUAAGUUGGGCGUGAAAGCUCCGGGCUUAACCCGGAGAGGCCGUUCAAUACUGCAUAACUUGAGGGUGUCAGAGGGGAGCGGAAUUCCCGGUGUAGCGGUAAAAUGCGCAGAGAUCGGGAGGAACACCAGUGGCGGAGGCGGUUCCCUGGGGCACACCUGACGCUGAGAGACGAAAGCUAGGGGAGCGAACAGGAUUAGAGACCCUGGUAGUCCUAGCCCUAAACGAUGAAUGCUAGGUGUGGGAUCGAAUGGUUCCGUGCCGGAGCGAACGCGAUAAGCAUUCCGCCUGGGGAGUACGGCCGCAAGGUUAAAACCCAAACGAAUUGACGGGGCCCCGCACAAGCAGCGGAGCGUGUGGUUUAAUUCGAUGCUACACGAAGAACCUUACCUGGGUUUGACAUGUAGGUGGUAGUGAAUCGAAAGGCGAACGACCCUUCGGGGAGCCUACACAGGUGCUGCAUGGCUGUCGUCAGCUCGUGCCGUGAGGUGUCGGGUUAAGUCCCGUAACGAGCGCAACCCUUGCUCCUAGUUACAAGUGUCUAGGGGGACUGCCGGCGGAAAGCCGGAGGAAGGUGGGGAUGACGUCAAGUCAGCAUGGCCCUUAUAUCCAGGGCUACACACACGCUACAAUGGUCGGUACAAAGGGCAGCGAAACCGCGAGGCGGAGCGAAUCCGAGAAAAGCCGAUCGUAGUUCGGAUAGCAGGCUGCAACCCGCCUGCUUGAAGCUGGAGUUGCUAGUAACCGCGCGUCAGCCAUAGCGCGGUGAAUACGUUCCCGGGGCUUGUACACACCGCCCGUCACGUCAUGGGAGUCGGUAACGCCUGAAGCCGGUAGUCUAACUGGAAACAGGAGACGCUGUCGAGGGCGGACUGGCAACUGGGACGAAGUCGUA